AUUGAACGCUGGCGGCAGGCCUAACACAUGCAAGUCGAGCGGAUGAAGGGAGCUUGCUCCUGGUUUCAGCGGCGGACGGGUGAGUAAUGCCUAGGAAUCUGCCUGGUAGUGGGGGCUAACGUCCGGAAACGGGCGCUAAUACCGCAUACGUCCUGCGGGAGAAAGUGGGGGAUCUUCGGACCUCACGCUAUCAGAUGAGCCUAGGUCGGAUUAGCUAGUUGGUGGGGUAAAGGCCUACCAAGGCGACGAUCCGUAACUGGUCUGAGAGGAUGAUCAGUCACACUGGAACUGAGACACGGUCCAGGCUCCUACGGGAGGCAGCAGUGGGGAAUAUUGGACAAUGGGCGAAAGCCUGAUCCAGCCAUGCCGCGUGUGUGAAGAAGGUCUUCGGAUUGUAAAGCACUUUAAGUUGGGAGGAAGGGCAGUAAGUUAAUACCUUGCUGUUUUGACGUUACCAACAUAAUAAGCACCGGCUAACUUCGUG
rnacentral:rRNA from 1 species